rnacentral:rRNA from 1 species
CCUACGGGUGGCUGCAGUGAGGAAUAUUGGUCAAUGGACGAGAGUCUGAACCAGCCAAGUAGCGUGAAGGAUGACUGCCCUAUGGGUUGUAAACUUCUUUUAUAUGGGAAUAAAAUGUUCCACGUGUGGGAUUUUGUAUGUACCAUAUGAAUAAGGAUCGGCUAACUCCGUGCCAGCAGCCGCGGUAAUACGGAGGAUCCGAGCGUUAUCCGGAUUUAUUGGGUUUAAAGGGAGCGUAGGUGGAUGGUUAAGUCAGUUGUGAAAGUUUGCGGCUCAACCCUAAAAUUGCAGUUGAAACUGGCAGUCUUGAGUACGGUAGAGGUGGGCGGAAUGCGUGGUGUAGCGGUGAAAUGCUUAGAUAUCACGAAGAACUCCGAUUGCGAAGGCAGUUCACUGGACUGCAACUGACACUGAGGCUCGAAAGUGUGGGUAUCAAACAGGAUUAGAUACCCUAGUAGUC